GCUGGGAUAGCUCAGUCGGUAGAGUGCGAGGCACUUAAAUCUCAGGUUCGGGGGUUCAAGCCCCACCUUGGGCA